ensembl:lncRNA
AUUACUAUCAUUAUACAGGUAGUAUUACUGUUAUUAUACAGGUACUAUCACUAUACAGGUACUAUCACUAUACAGGUACUAUUACUAUUACUAUACAGGUACUAAUGUUAUAUAGGUACUAUUACUAUUAUUAUACAGGUUAUAUUACUAUUACUAUACAGGCACUAUUUCUAUACAGGUACUAUUACUAUUCUAUACAUGUACUAUUACAAUUACUAUACAGGUGCUAGUACUAUCAUUAUAUAGGUACUAUAACGCUUACUAUACAGGUACUAUUACUAUAGAGGUCCUAUUAGUAUUAUUACACAGGUAGUUAUACUAUACAGAUACUAUUAUUAUUAAUAUUUCUCUACAUGUACUAUUACUAUUGCUAUACAGGUGAUAUUACUUUAUAGGUACUAUUACUAUACUAUGAGUACAACAGUACUAUUACUAUACUAUAAACAAUAAUACACCCAGUAUAUUGAAUAAUACCCCCUUUUUACACAAUAUUACACAAUAUUACCCCUGUAUAUAUAAUGCUAGACAACAUAUACACAAUAAUAGACAACGUAUACUCAAUGCUAAAACAACAUUUCUAUCUCCAUACACAAAAAUACUCAAUGCAAAAAAAUCCUCUCUGAUUGUCUCUGAUAUCUUUCAAUCCAGCUCCAGCAGCCAAUCAGGUUUAUGGAACUGGUGAGUGUUUUUUGUAGUUUUACUAGUAACUUUCUGUUGAUGUCAUUUGUUUGUGAUGAAUGUUGUUUUUUGGUGUAUGUUUGUUUACACUUGAUAGUUGUUGAUUGUUGAGGUUUGAUGUAAUAUAUUUGUGAUUGAUUGUUGUGUAUAGUUUGUCUACUGGUUUUACUGUUUGAUGUAGUUUGUUUGUUUAGAUGCAGUUUGUUUGUUGUGAUGUAAUUAGUUUCUUUUGAUGUAGUUAGUUUGGUCGGAUGUAGUUUAUUUGUUUUGUUGUAGUUAGGUUGAUUUGAUUAAGUUUGUUUCUGUUUGAUGUAGUUUGUUUGUGUUUGUUGUAGUUUGUUUAUUUUGAUGUUGUUUAAUUUUUUACGUAGUUGUUGUUUUAAUGUACUUUGUGUGUUUUUAUGUACUUCCUUUGUCUCAAUGUAGUUUGUUGUUUGUUUUCUGUGGUUUGUUUGUUCCGAUGUAGUUUGUUCGUUUUGAUGUAGUUUGUUUUGAUGUAGUUUGUUUGUUUUGAUGUAGUUUGUUGGUCUUAUUAUAAUUUGUUUCGAUGUAGUUUGUUCUUCUGAUGUAGUUUGUUUGUAUUGACGUAGAUGCAGCUGCCAGAAGCACAGAGGACGAAGGCGGUCAGUAAUAAGCCCUGGUAUCACUAGUGUCUAUCAGGAAGUAUGACGAGAUAAUAGUGUAGUAGUAUGAUAAAAGUACCCACUCACAUUCAGCGAUAACCCUUUCUACUGCAGUACUGCGACAGCAGGUACUGCGGUACUUAUAGUAUGAGUAACCACGAUGACUUCCUAAAGGGGUGCCUACCUUCCUCCCUCGCAGAAGAGGGCCCGGACUCUGACGAGGCCGGCGGCAAACCGCGCUCGGCCAAGCAGCCCCCGGCGGUGAAGCCGCCCGCCCAGCCCCGCCCCCCACAGCCCCUCCCC